rnacentral:rRNA from 1 species
UACCAGCACCCCGAGUGGUCGGGACGUUUAUUGGGCCUAAAGCAUCCGUAGCCGGUUCUGCAAGUCUCCCGUUAAAUCCAACUGCUCAACAGGUGGGCUGCGGAGGAUACUACAGAGCUAGGAGGCAGGAGAGGCAAGCGGUACUCAAUGGGUAGGGGUAAAAUCCGUUGAUCCAUUGAAGACCACCAGUGGCGAAGGCGGCUUGCCAGAAUGCGCUCGACGGUGAGGGAUGAAAGCUGGGGGAGCAAACCGG